rnacentral:rRNA from 1 species
UACGUAGGUGGCAAGCGUUGUCCGGAAUUAUUGGGCGUAAAGCGCGCGCAGGCGGCCUCUUAAGUCUGAUGUGAAAGCCCCCGGCUCAACCGGGGAGGGCCAUUGGAAACUGGGAGGCUUGAGUAUAGGAGAGAAGAGUGGAAUUCCACGUGUAGCGGUGAAAUGCGUAGAGAUGUGGAGGAACACCAGUGGCGAAGGCGACUCUUUGGCCUAUAACUGACGCGAGGCGCGAAAGCGUGGGGAGCAAACAGG